AAGCCAGAACCGAAGCCAAAUGGACACUCUUGCCGAGCAUCCACGCUGUUGCCAAGGGCUGUCCAUCCAUAGGAAGACUUCCCGUGACAGCCCUGUCCUGAGGCAGCUGGUUCUGGUGGGCAGCUGCCACUAUCAGGAACUUUAGCACCAUCUUAGGCCAUAGAUGAACUUUGGGAAUGGAAACCAUGUGGAGUAAUGCAACAAGAUU